CGGCGGAACUGCUUGCCCCAUUUAUUGGCGACAUUGCAGCGGAAGGGAUCGGCAAAGCCCUGCAUGGUGGUACCGCCUUCCUGCGUAAAAGCUUGCAACGUCAGCAGCGCUAUGCGGCAGAAGUGCUGACUGAAGAGUGGCGUAUGGCCCCCGGACCGCUGGAAGUGGCCUGGUUCGCGGAAGAGACUGCGGCUGUUGAACGUGCGGUUGAUGCGUUAACCAAACGGCUGGAAAAACUGGAGGGCAAAUGA
rnacentral:sRNA from 1 species